UAUAUAAUUAGGUCUGAAAAGAUAAUACUUUAUUUAUAGUUUAAUGUUAUUUGCUUGUAAAUAUUUAAUUAGGAUAGAAGUUAGAAUCGAAUCCAUGUAACAAAGUAGCGAGCUGAAGCAUAUAGGUCGUGGAACAUUAUCGGGCAAUACAUCGUACAGUGAGUAGCUACACUUUGAGCAUGCAAAGAAGAUGUGGUCCAAGUUGCCCUCAUCAAGCCCACAAUCACACAAUGAGUUCGCACGAACACCUAUCAUAGCCAGAAAUAACGGAGUACAUACUUUGCCCAAACGUAAACGACAGAUGGUGGAUAUUACCCAUUUCGGAGACGUACGGAAUCGAUAGAACCACGGUUUUCGAGAUAUACGAGGUUGUAUACAGCCAUAAUGUCUACCUGUCACUAAUCUCGAGGUAUCCCAUUGUUCCUGCCAUGUAUUAAAUAGAUCCGACAGUGAACCACUCAGAAGGUCUGUACUGUAAAUAUCCUCUUUUAUUAAUCCAAUGUCAAUAGCUCGUUUUGCCCAUGUAUCAGCCAUCUCAUUGCCGCUAAUACCACAGUGGCUUGGAACCCAUCCGAGAACAAUAUUUAGGCCCCUUAAUUCACACCUACGCAGUACAGCUUUGAUUUCUAAAAUCAAAGGAAAUUUGGCUUUCAGUUUGAAUUGGUUGCCUACAAUAGCCUGUAGGCAGCUUCUACUAUCAGAGAAGAUAAUAGUUUUUUUAAUACUAUGGGUCUCUGCAUAUUUGGCAGCUUCAAGAAUAGCAACUGCUUCACCUGUGAAAAUCGACGCUUGAGGAGGACACCUAAAUGAGAGGACAAUAUUGUACCGAGGAAUCCACACUGCUGCUCCCACACAUCUUGCAGGAUCUACCUUUGAAGCGUCAGUAUAAACCGUGAGUUCCAGUGCAAGUGACCGCAAACGUGGAAGCAGCAAAUGGUUGUAGUAAGAACUGGCUUUGAUUAAAAAUCUAUCGGCAAGAUAUUGUCUGCGGAGAGACAAAGGAGGCUCAACACCUUCCACCUGCAUGGCGUUCUUGGGAGAAGAAUGCAUAGCUCCGAGUAUGAUCCUCAAACAUUUAGCUUGUAUGAGAUCUAAUUUACCUAGUCCAUCCUUAUUGCAAGGUUCCAUUAAAAAUGACCCAUAGUCUAUAUGACUGCGUAUGAUGGCAUUGUACAGUAGCUUCUGACAAUAUGGAUGUGAGCCCCACCAUACACCUGACAAUGCUCGCAGAAUAUUGAUAUUUUUUUCACACUUACCUAUUAUAUACUUGUGAUGUGAAAUGCCAGACAUUUUGUGAUCUAAAAUGACACCUAGGAAUUUUACUGACUCCUUACUUGGAAUCAUAACACCGCCAUAACGGACAUCUGCAGCAGGCAUGAUUCUUCUGCGACUGAACGUGACUACACAACUCUUCGUUGGCGAUAGAGUAAGACCAUGUUCAUCAAGCCAAUCUUUGAGGUAACCCAGAGCUGUGUUCAAACUAGCAGCGGCUUUAUCUAUUGACUUUGCUGAGGUGUAUAAGACCAGAUCAUCAGCAUACUGCAAGAUAUUACAGAAGGAUAAGACAGAUUGCUCCAAGUCGUAGGUGUAGAUACUGUAAAGCAGAGGGCUGAGUACAGAUCCUUGCGGGAGGCCCCGCCACAAAGUCCGAGGUGGAUGAUAAGAAUUACCAUUCCUAAUUUUAAUUGACCUACCCAUAAACAACUUGGUGACAAUAUGUACAAUCUUCGCGGGAAUGCUCAGAUGUAGCAUUUUUGCCCUGAGCACCGGAAGAAGGACAUUGUCGUAAGCCGCAGAGAUAUCUAGAAAACAUCCUAGCAGAUAUUCGUUUUUUGAAAAGGUAAGUCGGAUAUCAGUUGCUAAAAUGUUUAAACUGUCCAUUGUACUACGGCCCUUUCGGAAACCAAAUUGAGUGUCAGCUAGAAUGCCCUUAUUUUCUGCAAACCAUUCCAGUCUAUUUUUAACCAGGUGCUCCAGUAUCUUUCCCAUUGUUGCAGAAAGAGCAAUCGGCCGAUAUGAGCUAGCCUCGUCUGGGUUUUUAGACGGUUUUAGGAUUGGAAUAAUUACUUGGGUCUUCCAGUCUCCUGGGAUCUCCCCCGUGUCAAAGGCAUGGUUUAGGAUACCAAGUAGAUAUUCCUGUGAUGAUGUAUUUAACUUGGACAAGAAACAAUAUGCAGCGGUUCAGGGGAAGGAGAUGGAAGAAUAGAUGAAGGCUUAGUGAUAAUAAUAGGGAAAUGGUCACUGCCAAAUGACUGACGUAAUACCCUCCAGGAUAAUAAAGAAGAUAAACUAGGAGAACAAACAGAUAAAUCGAGAACUGAUUGGGGAUUCUGGCCUGGGUAUACCCGAUGCGUGGGAGUUCCAUCAUUAAUAACUCCUACAUUGAUGUCAUCGAACAGAUCCAGCAGGGCUGACGAAAACGAAUCUGAAUGGUAUGAUCCCCAGGAGAUAUUGUGACAGUUAAAGUCUCCUAAAAUUAUAAGAGGAGGUGGGACAGAUGUGAGAAUAGAUUGUAAUUCAUCUAUAUCAACUUCUUCAGGAUGGGGGAUAUAUAUAGAGAUGAAAUUAAUGCCCAUAACCUUGGCAGCUACGGCAUUAAUCCCAUCCGAGUGAGGGGGGAUAGGAAUUUGGUAGAAAGGGUAACAGCGCUUGAUCAAUAACGCGCAUCCGGCGCGUCCGUCACUACGGUCUUCCCGGAGACAUGAGAAGCCCGGGACUCUAAAAAGAGCGCCGGGACGCAACCAUGUCUCCGAAAUAGCCGCAACAGACACGGCGUGGUCGUUGAUGAGCUGAAUAAGGUCAGGUUUUUUUGGUAUGAUACUUCGACUAUUCCAUUGUAGAAAUGUGACCGGGGGGGCCAUUGUGGAAUGUAAGUCUCUCCGCGAGUGUAACCAUUAAGGGUGCAACGUCGUUCGGUAGGAAAUCGCUCCAUUUAGCGAUGAUGUUUGUUAAAAAUUUCAAACAGAGUUCCAUUAGGUCUUCAUUGGGAGUGAUUCUAUUGUAAGAAGAAGAGCCAUUCAGAGCCUGACCAUUGGGGAGUUGAGGUGGGGGGGUUCGGACGAUAUUGUUGUGAGCUUCUCUAUCAUAACCCGGGGACAGAGGGACCCUCGUCCGGGGUGCUCGGUAUACGGUCUUACGAUACGAAGUGGUGGGCGGAGGAGUGGGCAUGGAAGUAUUAGGGUGGCAUGGGGACUGGGAAGAUCGGGAAGAGUCUGUAACCUGCUCAAACAUGACUCUUGCUAUAUCUGAAUAUGGUCUGCGAACUGCUGAAAACUGUGCUGCUGCUUCUGCGUAUGAGAUGUUCUGCUCAGACAUGGCAAGUUUAAUGGCUUUUUGUCUACCAUAUUCAUUGCAUACUUUAUCUGUAGCAAAAUGCCUACCUGUACAAAAGAUACAUGUCACAUGUUCUGGGGCUACAUUGCAUCCAUCACCGGGGUGUUUCUGUGCACACUUAUAACAUCUAGCAUCAGACCGGCACUGUGUUUGAAUAUGACCAAACCUAAGGCACUUCCUGCAUUGAAUUACUGGCAGUUGAUAUACUUCUACCACUAGAGAGGUGUAAUAGGCGAAGAUUUUCGACGGUAAGGAUUGCCCUUCGAAAGUAACUACAACUGAUUGGGUUGGCACCCAGGAUGAGGAGCCAUCAUUGUUUGCCACCUUCCGUUGCAGACGGCGAGCCUUAAGAAUCUUCCCUUUGCCUUCUUUGAGAUUCGUACCAUUGACUAAUUCCUCCAUAGUCCAAUCCGAAGGAACUCCACGAACAACUCCCAUACGCGAUACAUGGUAUGAGGGGAUAUCAGCUGUAAACUUAUUUUUGUCAAGUAGUGGGUGCUUUAAGAAGCUAUUUGCAUCAGCUGCUGUGGAGAAAGUAACUGCUACUCUGUUGCGACCUACCGACUUAAUACCACCUUCCUUCUGGAUGUUGUUUACAUUUCCUUGAGUAAGCAAAAGGCCUACAUUGAUGGGUUUCAGAGAGGCAUUGGACGAUGGAGCGGACUCUCUAGAGACAUGAACUAUAAAUGGUCCAUCAUCUUCGGCAUUGUACUCUCGGUAUUUGCUGUCUAGACUAGGGUGUUUGUAUAAAUGUGGGUUGAACUCGACUGUAUUAUUUUCAUUUACCUCAACUGGAUUAUUUUUAUUAAACUCUGCCACAUUACUAGUAUUAGGUUCGACUGUAUUAUUUGUAUUGCCCAACUGCUUGCUAGUCUCUAUCGGGUCGAUUACAAUUUUUUUUGGGGAAGGCUCCAGCUGGGUCGGUGACAAAUUCAAGUUGCGUUUACGUGAGGUUGUCUCCCAAUUCAUGUCAUUAUCACCGGCCUCAUCUGGAGGCUUCUCCUUUUCAUUCCCAUCCAUCCAAACGUCUACAGUAUUAACCUACUGUAUUGUGUAAAUAUACCACCACCUGAUUAGUAAAUAAAGAAA